rnacentral:rRNA from 1 species
GGGUGAGUAAUGCCUAGGAAUCUGCCUGGUAGUGGGGGACAACGUUUCGAAAGGAACGCUAAUACCGCAUACGUCCUACGGGAGAAAGCAGGGGACCUUCGGGCCUUGCGCUAUCAGAUGAGCCUAGGUCGGAUUAGCUAGUUGGUGAGGUAAUGGCUCACCAAGGCGACGAUCCGUAACUGGUCUGAGAGGAUGAUCAGUCACACUGGAACUGAGACACGGUCCAGACUCCUACGGGAGGCAGCAGUGGGGAAUAUUGGACAAUGGGCGAAAGCCUGAUCCAGCCAUGCCGCGUGUGUGAAGAAGGUCUUCGGAUUGUAAAGCACUUUAAGUUGGGAGGAAGGGUUGUAGAUUAAUACUCUGCAAUUUUGACGUUACCGACAGAAUAAGCACCGGCUAACUCUGUGCCAGCAGCCGCGGUAAUACAGAGGGUGCAAGCGUUAAUCGGAAUUACUGGGCGUAAAGCGCGCGUAGGUGGUUCGUUAAGUUGGAUGUGAAAUCCCCGGGCUCAACCUGGGAACUGCAUCCAAAACUGGCGAGCUAGAGUAUGGUAGAGGGUGGGUGGAAUUUCCUGUGUAGCGGUGAAAUGCGUAGAUAUAGGAAGGAACACCAGUGGCGAA